CCCUUAGAUGUCCUGGGCCGCACGCGUGCUACACUGACGCCUACAGCGAGUACUUCCCAGCCCCGAGAGGUGGCCGGUAAUCAGCAAUAGGCGUCGUGAUGGGGAUAGAUCUUUGGAAUUAUGGAUCUUGAACGAGGAAUGCCUAGUAAGCGCAGGUCAUUAGCCUGCGCUGAUUAAGUCCCUGCCCUUUGUACACACCGCCCGUCGCUCCUACCGAUUUCGAGUGGUCCGGUGAAUCUUUCGGACUGCGCGCGGCCUCGUGCCGUGUCGCGGAAAGUCAGGUAAACCUUAUCACUUAGAGGAAGGAGAANUCGUANCA
rnacentral:rRNA from 1 species